UCCAGCAUCUCUGCAUUACGAGAGUGUACUCGUUACCGCGAGUUACAGCUCAAACUUCUCUUUGAAAAUACAACAAAUAAAAACUGUUCGUAUGUCCAGCGAAGUCUAAUCGCCGAUUUAGUUCGAUCGUAGUGCCGGAGUACCCGGAAGAACGGCAGACGUGCUCGUAAUUGGUCUGUUCAAAAAAGUGUGAAGUUCGAAAGCGGGCGAAUAACGAGUUCAUCAAGCACAUGUCGCAACAAUUGGCCAUCGGACCUUUUAGCAUGAAAGUUAGUUAGUGUCUUGCCCCGUGCUUGGUUACCCGUGCGUACAUACAACGAAUCUGGUCGUUUCGUGAACAGUGGUGUUUACACUAUAAAUAACUACUAAAUAAAUAAAUACUAAUAACUACACGAUAAAUAAAUUGAUUAUUGCGUUCUUCGUCGAUCUUUAAUCCGUGUAGCUAACUAUAGUAGCUUACAAUGAAGAUUCUGUUCGCAUUCUUAUUGCUGAUCGUCACCGUGACCGCGGCUCCAUGGAUCGAGAUUCUGUUCGGCGAUCAGUCCGGUUACAAUUAUCGUCCGCCGAAUCAGGGGAAGCAAGAGUUCAAACGAAGACAGGGAAAAGGUGGAAAAGAACGAUGGAAGGAGAUCUGCAGAACGAUCAAUCCUGAUCCUUUUGCAUUCACGGGCAGAGGGUCCUAUCCCGUCGCGCCAAUCUGUCCCUGGUAACGAUCCGAAGUGAUCAAACCAUCGCAGAGUCGGGACACCGUGGACGACGGAAGCGAGAACAAUCAUUUCCAAACUUGUAUCAAGCCGUCCGUGCUGCCAGUCAGAAUACAGGUGUUCGACAUAGAUACGGCAGAGAUCGUGUCGUGGUGGCCCGACGGUGGCGUUUCUGGACCCUGGCCACCUUCUUCCGAGUUUCUUGUUCGAACGCUGCUGCCUCCCACGGACGACGACGGCGCGGGCCCAUCGUUGGCUAAGACUUCUUGCACGACGUUUGUUCCAUCUAUCAACCGUUGCCUGGGAAAUAUAAACCACGGGAAUGUAUAUACAAAUGUAUAUAAGAAUUUUUAAAUAAAUACUGCUAAAUAGAG